UCAUCGCGCGCGCGCGCGCGAGCUUUCGUGACCAUUGAUAAGAGGUAACGCACGCGUAUCGCGUCUCGCCCCCUCGCGGUACCGCCGCUUUCGCCGAUGACGACGACACCGAGGGACAGGGUGAGACGCGCUCUCGGAUAUUUGGUCAGUGCGCGCUUCCCCGCGCCGGCGGUCCGCCGCGAGAUAGUCGUCCGGACGGCCGGUAGCCAGCGUCGCGGCGGAGCAGCGGAUGCAGCAAUCAGCGGUGCAUCGCGGUGGCCGCUUGUGCCGGACAUAUUGCGGGCUCGCAAAUAUAGAUUGAUUGCAAUCGCUCGUGCAUAAGCACUUGUUGCUGGGACCGCGUCGCGGCUGGACACGGUGGUGUCUCUGUAUGGAGGGCUUUUCACCACGUCGGACGUCUCCUCACGGAGACCUCGUGAGCGUUGCGACGACGACGACGACGACUUGCGCAACACGCCGCGUCGACACGCCGAGAGCGUCUCGAGCACGAGGCGGAGUGACGCGAUAGCCUUCGACGAUGUGUGUAUAAUCGCGAUUGCUGUUGCUAAGAUAUAAUAAUAACGAAAGAAAUAUUACGCCUGUGAUAAAUAUAUCUGCGUUUUGCAAAUUGUUUUUUUUAUCAAAAUCAAUUGCGCUUUGCGGGAAGGUAAGUUUGUAGAUUUUAAUCGGUCUUAUCCAACCGCUUGUGCUAGUCUAAUCUUCGAGUUUCAUCUCGUUUUACGAUCAUAGAUUAGAAUAUAAUGAAAUAUAUCAGAAACGAAAUAAAUAGUAUCGUUAAUUUUUUAUUGUGAGGUCAGUAUGAAGGACUUUAAUCGGUAGACUUUCCUCCCGUAGUUUUAUGUAUUGAGAAUUAAAUUUCAUAGAGUGAAAAAUUUCAGUUUUAAACGUUUAUUUUCUAUUCGAACUUUCUUCGAGUAGCUAAAAAAUUUCCAUAUUCUUUUUAUGUUCUAAUUUCGAGAUCCAAUUGUAAUUUAUUACGGUUCACUAUUAUUGAAUAAAAUAUAUAACAAAGUAUACAUGUUAAAUACGAAACAAAUAAUCUUGAUUGUGUUUUUCAUGGUAAAAUAAAAGUAUAAUUAAACGUAAUGAAUAAUAUAUUUGAGACGUAUAGAAAAAGCUUCACAUUUUCAAACUCAUUUGCUGAUUCUCAAUAUUAGAGACUCCACUUAAAAGUUUCAUCAAGUUUCUUCAAUUUUUUAAAUUUGGACUCUCGUAUUAUUUUAAUGUUAACUUUUUCAAAUUCCAAUCCUUUUAUUCCCAUUUUGCACGAGCAGUAGCUGUUGAUAGGAUAAUAAUCGGACAAUUUGUCUCACUGUUCAAAGAUAUUCGAAGACACAAUCAAAUACACCUUCGACCUUCUGAUAACGUCAUUCCCUUCGUGCAUGUAUAAUAAUAGAUUAUUUACACUGAUUUAAAAGGAUUAUUAUUGUCAAACGUUAGACCGAUUAUUAUUGAUAAGGUUGGAAAAAGUGUACAAAAUUCACACAAAUAUAUUAUCAGGUGACCG